AGGGUCUGGAGAUGGGGAGAUGAUCCCGGAUGAUCCAGGGAACCCCACAGGUUACCACAAGGUCCUUACGAGAAGAAGGCAGGAGGGAGAAAAUCAGAGAAGGAGCAGCAAGGACAAAGCGGGGUCAGGGUGAGGACAACCCAUGAGGUGGUACUGUGAUCGCCCCACUUUACAGAUGAGAGGACAGACACACAGAGACACGGAAACCAGCCCUGGGUCACACAGCUGGGAAGCGGCCGUGACUUUCCUACUCAGGCCCGUGGCACACGGAGCCCCAGAGAAAGGCUCAGGAGAAGGGAGACGCGUGGGACUAAUGGUCUUGGAAGCACAGCCGGGGUGACGGAAGAGGCACAGAGAGCCGAAAAUGCAAGAACACGGUAGCUAGGAGGGACCGAUUCUCAUGCAGGGACAACAGUGCCAGCCCUAGGCAGUAUCACAGGUGCUGGGUUGGGGUCUGGGCUGAGAAUCUGGGUCUCAUCAGCGACAUCAACAUGGAUCAUGCCACCAGCAGUGACAGCAUCUUCAUGCAGCCAGAAGCCGCUGACUCUAUGAAGAAUGGAAGACGGCCUCGAGUACUUUCCAGGUUUGAACUUCACUAAGGAAAAAGAAUAGCCUGUACAAAUGUCAAAGCCCGAAGUGAAAACUGAAGUCCUCAGCAUAAGCAGGAACCAUUCCCAGAUGGGAGGGAAAGUGCCUAGAAAGUUGCUGAGUCCACACUCAAGUUGUUGUUUGAUAAGUUUUACAAAAUGACAAAGAUUGGGCCAUAGACAGACAUAUUUGAUGUACAUUCUGGUAUUUGCAGAUUUGAUCAGGUACAAAAUUUUUAAGCCAUAUUGAUU
rnacentral:lncRNA from 1 species